AUUUAAUGAACAAAGCCUAAGAGCGCCACGUCCUGUGGCAACGGCUUUGCAUCUG
rnacentral:sRNA from 1 species